GGGAGGGAGUGAAACGGGGGUGGAACUGAGGGCACUGUUGGUCGGUCGCACUUUCGCCACGUCCUCGCCUCGCUCUCUAUUUACAUAUAUGCAAAUAAGCUAUGACGUCCAACCAAAAUGAAGUCGAGAUAGGCCCAGCCAGGCCCAAGCCGGGUUUUUAAAGCGUUGGAAACGGGGAGGGACGAAUCGGCGGAGGGUGAAACCGCAGCUUGGGGAAGCCAUUACGUUGUCCGGCUUCGGUACUUUCGCCACACGUGUAUCUAAAUGAACGCUCAUUUGCAUAAAUCUGAAUACGACGCGGAGCGAUGCAAAUCAACCCUUUAAUGACUCAGGAAAUGGAUUGGGUGGGAACAAAGGCGGGGUCAGCUCGUGGGACGAAUCAGCGACGAGCGAAACCUCAGGCUGGGACAAAGGAACAGGUUAAUUAUUCGCACCUCGCACUUUCGCCAUGACCCUGAGGAAAGGAAAUGACGAAUGAACCCCCACCCAUUUGAGUGUCCCUCCCCCCCCCCCCGCGCCCCAUUUUUAUAAGGAGGAAAAUAAUUAAGAGCGAAUCAGCUGCCCGGGGAAUCUCAGCUAGGCCCCAAAAAGGAUACAACACACCCCUGGAAUGCAGGACACGCCUUGAAAGAAUGUGAAUCCUGAGUCUGUCUGCCUAACAGCCUAUAAUGAGCAGAAAGAGCUCUUACCAUAUUUCCCCUCUGUAAUGCGCACCAAAAUUGCCUGCAGCUGCUUUCCUGCGGGGGUGGGGAGGGAUUGCAUAGUGCCUGCGGGAGACGCGGCAGGCGAAUAUUGUGACUCCCAAAGCCAUUAGAAGUGGCCUGUCAUUAUUCCAAUGGAUGAUUGCUUGUACCACAGACGAGGUGAUAAUGAGCAAUGGAACUUCGUUAGGCCUUGAAAGCCACCAAGUGGUAGUCAAUGGCCACUCGUUAUUCAAAUGUAUGGAAGUUAUUGCUGACAGCACGGGCAGGGAGAUGAGGAGGCCCGGAGCGUUUGCGACGCGCUGAGAGCACUGAAAAUUGAGCCCCAACUUCGAUAACGAACGCCUUCCAACCCUGCCGCGCAGAGCGUCGGUAUUGAGACCGGUGCACUUAAAACGAUCGGAAGAAAACAGAACAAGUGAGAAUAAAAGCAGAGGUCAUAUUUUAA